AGUACGCUAUGUGAAUCAUCGAAUCUUUGAACGCAUAUUGCACUGGCAGUAAUUUGCCAGUAUACCUGUUUGAGUAUCAUCCGCCUCUCACUGACGUGACGCCGCUGCAAGGCGCGUCCGCCGGUGGACCUGAGUUUUCGGCCGUUGCAAGACGUCCGUGACUUGAAAUGCAGGCAUCGUGGUCGUUUCGAGCCAUCAGUGAUAGUGUCCUUGCCUCACGGCGAGUGUCUUGUUUCUGGUCGGCACAUAUCGGAGCGUCUGCGUGACGACUGAUGACAUUAGUGGGAGUGUCCUCGGGCACUCGACCAUCUAACCUUUGAUCUCAAAUCAAGUAAGAUUACCCGCUGAACUUAAGCAUAUCAAUAAGCGGAGG
rnacentral:rRNA from 1 species